rnacentral:rRNA from 1 species
GAUGAACGCUGGCGGCGUGCCUAAUACAUGCAAGUCGAGCGAACAGAUGAGAAGCUUGCUUCUCUGAUGUUAGCGGCGGACGGGUGAGUAACACGUGGGUAACCUACCUAUAAGACUGGGAUAACUCCGGGAAACCGGGGCUAAUACCGGAUAAUAUUUUGAACCGCAUGGUUCAAUAGUGAAAGACGGUUUCGGCUGCCACUUAUAGAUGGACCCGCGCCGUAUUAGCUAGUUGGUAAGGUAACGGCUUACCAAGGCGACGAUACGUAGCCGACCUGAGAGGGUGAUCGGCCACACUGGAACUGAGACACGGUCCAG